rnacentral:sRNA from 1 species
ACCUCUAGGAGGAGGGUGAAGCUUCUUGUCUUCCAGACAUUCCCGAGGAAAACUUACACGAGGAGUCUGUCAAGGAGUGCCACCCUUUGGACAAAGAAAACGAGACUGACAACGAAGUCUGAAGGAGAAAGGCAAGUAUCUUUCUGCUGGACUGGCCCUCAAGACUUAGCACAACUGCCUUCACCAGUGAGCACAAAGCCACAUUUCAAAGGAAACUGACAAAUUAUCCCCAGCUGCCAGAAGAAGGUUAGUUUUCUGUGUGUUCAGUGUCCCCCUUCUCUGAUAACCAACAGGUUAACUUUCUAAAGGGAACUGACAAAAGCAGAAAUUGUCCUUUUACCCAAAUGAGUUGUGAUUGUUGAUUUCUUUAAAGAUGUGGAUUUGUAAUAUUCCUCUCCAUUCCUACUCUAAUUUAUACCAGGAAAUAGAGUGUAAGUGAUCACAAUGGAACCUCUAUUGUUUGCAAGAUUCAUAUUAAUGCAUUCUGGUUUUUUAAGUGCUUACAAGAUCUAAAUUAAUUUUUAAAUUAGCUAGCAUAGUGUCUUUACUCAAUGAGUAGCCAUUUAAAGGCUGAAUGAUGUCAGCCCUGGCCAUAGAGAUUUAUGUGUUGUUAUAUUUCAUUUGCAUUUUUAACCAUCUUUGUACAUGUGUUAUGCAUCUAGCACUUAUGCUGUAUAACAGGAGAGAGUCUAAUGCCUAGCACAGUACACUACAUAUAGUAGGUGCUCACUAAAUGCCAU